GACUGUUUAGUAAAGUAAGAUGUACAAACACAUCACCAUCACCAAAACACAAUUUUGUCACGAAUCCAUCUGCUUCCUUUGUUUAAUAUUCACAUAGACCAAGGUGUUUGUCUUCUUAACAUAACGACCCCAAUCUUUCACAUCAAAGAUCUGUUAACAUGGCCCAAGUAUUUCCAUACUCGCACUUUUUGUUUGUUUGUUAAGGUCUUAGUCUCAACAUUUUAUGAAAUUUAAUAUUUGUAGAAAGAUACUC
rnacentral:lncRNA from 1 species